UUGUGGUUGUACUGGUGUAAGAGUGUAGGCCGUGACAUAGGCAAAUCCGUGUCACAUUAAGGCUGAGACUUGAUGCAUACCCGUUGUGGGGAAUUCAGUGAUCCUAUGCUGCCGAGAAAAGCCUCUAGUGAGUUCAUACACGGCCCGUACCCCAAACCGACACAGGUGAUCAGGUAGAGAAUACCAAGGCGAUCGAGAGAACUGUGGUUAAGGAACUCGGCAAAAUGCCCCCGUAACUUCGGGAGAAGGGGGACCAUGCCCGGUGAACAUCUUCACGGUGGGAGCUGGGUGUGGUCGCAGAGACCAGAGAGAAGCGACUGUUUACUAAAAACACAGGUCCGUGCGAAGACGUAAGUCGAUGUAUACGGACUGACGCCUGCCCGGUGCUGGAAGGUUAAGAGGACCGGUUAGCCGUAAGGCGAAGCUGAGAAUUUAAGCCCCAGUAAACGGCGGUGGUAACUAUAACCAUCCUAAGGUAGCGAAAUUCCUUGUCGGGUAAGUUCCGACCUGCUCGAAUGGCGUAACGACUUCUCUGCUGUCUCGACCACAGACUCGGCGAAAUUGCACUACGAGUAAAGAUGCUCGUUACGCGCGGCAGGACGAAAAGACCCCGGGACCUUUACUAUAGCUUGGUAUUGGCGUUCGAUUCGGUUUGUGUAGGAUAGGUGGGAGACUGUGAAGCAUGCACGCCAGUGUGUGUGGAGUCGUUGUUGAAAUACCACUCUGAUCGUAUUGGACGUCUAACCUCGGCCCAUGAUCUGGGUUAGGGACAGUGCCUGGUGGGUAGUUUAACUGGGGCGGUUGCCUCCUAAAGAGUAACGGAGGCGCCCAAAGGUUCCCUCAGCCUGGAUGGCAAUCAGGUGUUGAGUGCAAGUGCACAAGGGAGCUUGACUGUGAGACUGACACGUCGAGCAGGGACGAAAGUCGGGACUAGUGAUCCGGCACCGGCAAGUGGAAGCGGUGUCGCUCAACGGAUAAAAGGUACCCCGGGGAUAACAGGCUGAUCUUCCCCAAGAGUCCAUAUCGACGGGAUGGUUUGGCACCUCGAUGUCGGCUCGUCGCAUCCUGGGGCUGGAGUAGGUCCCAAGGGUUGGGCUGUUCGCCCAUUAAAGCGGCACGCGAGCUGGGUUUAGAACGUCGUGAGACAGUUCGGUCUCUAUCCGCCGCGCGCGUAAGAAACUUGAGGAAGGCUGUCCCUAGUACGAGAGGACCGGGACGGACGAACCUCUGGUGUGCCAGUUGUUCCACCAGGAGCAUGGCUGGUUAGCUACGUUCGGAAGGGAUAACCGCUGAAAGCAUCUAAGCGGGAAGCCUGUUCCAAGAUGAGGUUUCUCACCACCUUGCGUGGUUAAGGCCCCCUACAGACCAUGGGGUUGAUAGGCCGGAACUGGAAGCGCAGCAAUGCGUGGAGGUGACCGGUACUAAUAGGCCGAGGGCUA
rnacentral:rRNA from 1 species